rnacentral:rRNA from 1 species
GACGAACGCUGGCGGCGUGCCUAAUACAUGCAAGUCGAGCGAACGGACGAGAAGCUUGCUUCUCUGAUGUUAGCGGCGGACGGGUGAGUAACACGUGGAUAACCUACCUAUAAGACUGGGAUAACUUCGGGAAACCGGAGCUAAUACCGGAUGAUAUUUUGAACCGCAUGGUUCAAAAGUGAAAGACGGUCUUGCUGUCACUUAUAGAUGGAUCCGCGCUGCAUUAGCUAGUUGGUAAGGUAACGGCUUACCAAGGCAACGAUGCAUAGCCGACCUGAGAGGGUGAUCGGCCACACUGGAACUGAGACACGGUCCAGACUCCUACGGGAGGCAGCAGUAGGGAAUCUUCCGCAAUGGGCGAAAGCCUGACGGAGCAACGCCGCGUGAGUGAUGAAGGUCUUCGGAUCGUAAAACUCUGUUAUUAGGGAAGAACAUAUGUGUAAGUAACUGUGCACAUCUUGACGGUACCUAAUCAGAAAGCCACGGCUAACUACGCG